GGGAGCUUGCUCCCUGAUUCAGCGGCGGACGGGUGAGUAAUGCCUAGGAAUCUGCCUGGUAGUGGGGGACAACGUCUCGAAAGGGACGCUAAUACCGCAUACGUCCUACGGGAGAAAGCAGGGGACCUUCGGGCCUUGCGCUAUCAGAUGAGCCUAGGUCGGAUUAGCUAGUUGGUGAGGUAAUGGCUCACCAAGGCGACGAUCCGUAACUGGUCUGAGAGGAUGAUCAGUCACACUGGAACUGAGACACGGUCCAGACUCCUACGGGAGGCAGCAGUGGGGAAUAUUGGACAAUGGGCGAAAGCCUGAUCCAGCCAUGCCGCGUGUGUGAAGAAGGUCUUCGGAUUGUAAAGCACUUUAAGUUGGGAGGAAGGGUUGUAGAUUAAUACUCUGCAAUUUUGACGUUACCGACAGAAUAAGCACCGGCUAACUCUGUGCCAGCAGCCGCGGUAAUACAGAGGGUGCAAGCGUUAAUCGGAAUUACUGGGCGUAAAGCGCGCGUAGGUGGUUUGUUAAGUUGGAUGUGAAAGCCCCGGGCUCAACCUGGGAACUGCAUUCAAAACUGACAAGCUAGAGUAUGGUAGAGGGUGGUGGAAUUUCCUGUGUAGCGGUGAAAUGCGUAGAUAUAGGAAGGAACACCAGUGGCGAAGGCGACCACCU
rnacentral:rRNA from 1 species